UGACGGUAUCAUAUGAAUAAGCACCGGCUAACUCCGUGCCAGCAGCCGCGGUAAUACGGGGGGUGCAAGCGUUACUCGGAAUCACUGGGCGUAAAGAGCAUGUAGGCGGGUGAAUAAGUUGGAAGUGAAAUCCUAUAGCUUAACUAUAGAACUGCUUCCAAAACUGUUCACCUAGAGUAUGGGAGAGGUAGAUGGAAUUUCUGGUGUAGGGGUAAAAUCCGUAGAGAUCAGAAGGAAUACCGAUUGCGAAGGCGAUCUACUGGAACAUUACUGACGCUCAGAUGCGAAAGCGUGGGGAGCCAACAGGAUUAGAUACCCUGGUAGUCCACGCCCUAAACGAUGUACACUAGUUGUUGCUAUACUAGAUAUGGCAGUAAUGCAGUUAACACUUUAAGUGUACCGCCUGGGGAGUACGGUCGCAAGAAUUAAACUCAAGGGAUAGACGGAGACCGCACAGCGGUGGACAUGUGGUUAAUUCACGAUCGCGAAAACCUUCCUGGCUUGAAUAGUAGGAUCUUUAGAGAUAGAGAGGCUA
rnacentral:rRNA from 1 species